UUUCCGUAGGUGAACCUGCGGAAGGAUCAUUAUUGAAUAAACCUGAUGUGGUUGUAGCUGGCCCUUUCGGGAGCAUGUGCACACCCGUCGUCUUUAUCUUUCCACCUGUGCACCUUUUGUAGACCUGGAUGUAACACUUUCCGAGGCAACUCGGUCGGGAGGAAUGCUGUCAGCUUUCCUUGAAUGUCCAGGCCUAUGUUUUCAUAUACCCAAAGAAUGUAACAGAAUGUAUUAUUGGGCCUUGUGCCUAUAAACUAUAUACAACUUUCAGCAACGGAUCUCUUGGCUCUC
rnacentral:misc_RNA from 1 species